rnacentral:rRNA from 1 species
UAGGGAAUCUUCGGCAAUGGACGAAAGUCUGACCGAGCGACGCCGCGUGAGUGAAGAAGGUUUUCGGAUCGUAAAACUCUGUUGGUAGAGAAGAACGUUGGUGAGAGUGGAAAGCUCAUCAAGUGACGGUAACUACCCAGAAAGGGACGGCUAACUACGUGCCAC